CCUACGGGGGGCAGCAGUGAGGAAUAUUGGACAAUGGUCGGAAGACUGAUCCAGCCAUGCCGCGUGCAGGAUGAAGGUCUUAUGGAUUGUAAACUGCUUUUGUAAGGGAAGAAUAAGAGCUACGCGUAGUUUGAUGACGGUACCUUAUGAAUAAGCAUCGGCUAACUCCGUGCCAGCAGCCGCGGUAAUACGGAGGAUGCGAGCGUUAUCCGGAAUCAUUGGGUUUAAAGGGUCUGUAGGCGGGCUGGUAAGUCAGAGGUGAAAGCGCUCAGCUCAACUGAGCAACUGCCUUUGAAACUGUUGGUCUUGAAUGGUUGUGAAGUAGUUGGAAUGUGUAGUGUAGCGGUGAAAUGCUUAGAUAUUACACAGAACACCGAUAGCGAAGGCAUAUUACUAACAAUUAAUUGACGC
rnacentral:rRNA from 1 species